UCUCGCUUCAAUAGAGAAUUCAUCAAAGUUAACUUAGCUAGGCUUGCUGGUAGGUAUUCCAAGUUGUGAUGCGGGGAAUGUGGAUCUUCUGGUAUGGCUCCAAGUAACACUAGUUUUGUAAGACGAUGAAGACUAGAAAGUGGUUCCAAAUUAGGAAAUGAUUCCAUCCGCAUCCGCAUCUUCAAGGAACGGAGACGGCCUAAUUCAAAAAUAGGAGAUCUUAGAACCACUUCAACUUCCUUUUUUGUCCGGAAACUUACUCCAAAAUUUCGGAGAUUGAUUAAUUUCCG
rnacentral:misc_RNA from 1 species